ACUCCGCACUGAGCGUGGAGCCCAACAUGGGACUCAAUCCCAUGACCCCGAGAUCAGAACCUGGGCUGAAAUUAAGAUUUGGAAGCUUAACCAACUGAGCCACCCAGGCGCCCCCAUACUUUCCUUAUUUCUUACAACAUUCCUAAAACCUAUCCAUAAUCAUCUAAGCCAGAUACAAUAAAGCCAGUUUAUUCCAAAUAUUUUAUAUUAGGAUUCCAAUGGCAGAAGUUGCAGAGAUUUUAUUAUUUCUGACCCUCCCUGCCUCUGUUGUGAUGGGACUUAGAUACGGAGACCAAACAGACAUAUAAUUUUUUUUUUUUUUUUUUUGCUUCCCUAUGACCCAUGGUGAGAGUCCACAUAUCAAUCCAAGUUGAAAUCCUAGACACUUACAACAUUCCCUGGUUUGCUCUAGCUCCCCCUCCAGUCUGUGGUUCUUAAUUAGCUGCCUGAAAUGAUCCCAGGGUGGAGGACUAUGAGGAAGGCCCUGCUUGGAGGUGAUGGACGGGGGCAGGCUGGAGAUGUCCCCUAAGCUGUAAGCUCUGUGCGCAGAGGCCCUGGCCCUGCAGCUUCCAGGCCACAGUAUCUCCAACAUCAAGGUCUAAGAUGUUUCUUUAAUCAGGGUGGCCCAUGCUGAGAUGGAAGCCAGUGGUCUUGGUUUUCUGAGGCCGCUUUGGGGUGGGAAUUCUGGUUCCAUGAAUUUGCUAUCCAGAAAAGUAGGUGGCCUGCCUGGUUCCUCCAGAAUUCCUUUUGAAGGCGCACCCAGGCCUCUCAGCCUCACUGAUAGGUAAACCUUGGCCUGGAGCGCAAUUUCUAUUUGUUUGUAUUUCUAUUAUCUAUUUGGGUUAUUUUGAAUUUUAAGAGCUGAAAAGGACACCAAAAAUGCCUGUCGUGAUUGAAUAGUGUUCCCCCAAAAGAUAGGUUCCACGUCCUGACCCCUGGAACCUAUGAACGUGACCAUAUUUGGGGAAAGGGUCUCUGCAGAUGUAAUUAAGUUAAGGAUCUCAAGAUGAUAUCGUCCUGGAAUAGGGUGGGCCCUACCUCGAAUAAGUGCCCCUCUAAGAGACAGGAGAGGAGAAGACACACAUAUGGGGGGCAGCCAAGGCAGAGACUAGAGGGUUGGGACCACAGCCGAGGAUUGCCAGCCGCUGGCAGAAGCUAGAGGAGGCAGGAAGGAUCCUCCCUCAGUCCCCAGAGGAAGCCCAGCCCUGCCGACACCUUCACUUCGGACUUCUGGUCCCCAGAACUGUGCGAGAGUAAAUUUCCAUUGUGUUCAGCCCCCUAGUUUGUGGUAUUUCGUUAGGACAGCCCCAGGAAACAAAACCACCCUCCAUGGGAAAACUGGUGGGUGCGAUCCCCACACUCCUCCUGUUCUUAUCCCCUCUGCCGGCUCCGGCCUCAGGCGAGUAUAGCCAGUGAGACUCAAGAAAAGCCCCGUGUUCCUCUAGGGAGCGUGUACGGUCCCCACACAAUGGCCUGCUCUACACCAAGGCACUUUGAUGGGUAGGACGGCGUGGAAAGCACCUUCAGGAAGAAUGUCUCCAAGGGCCACAUUGUGGCACCGACCAUGGAAGAUGGGCUGAGCCCGACCCAUCUGUCCCCGAAGGUACAGUCUACAUCUCUAGAUAUCCAAACUGCUUCCAGGGAUCAGGACAAGGUGUAGAUCACGCUGUGCUUUCUAGGAUUAUUUACUGGUCCAUCGCUCGUGGUUCCCCCUUAAGGCACAGGCUUCCCCACACCUUCACUUGCAAGACAAAGACUCCUCUUCCUCCAGACCCUGCGUGGAGGAUAGUAUCUAAAAAGGGAUCUGAGUAUGAGUUAAACAUGGUCAUCCAUGUCCAGCCCAGAGGCAAGCAAGGCCAGCAGCAGGGGCUAGGGUCGCCUGAAAUGGAAUCGUCACAGUAGACUGGAAACUCCUUUCAAGUUUAUCUUCCAUUUGAAGACCUCCGUCCCCUGCUCCACAGUGGAGCUACGGAGUGUAUGCAAACUGGCUUCCCAUGUACCACAUAAGCUCACGGAUGGGCUCUCUUGGUGGCACAGAGCUGUUACUCAGAGUCCUUCGGACGGCUGUGUGUUGGCCACAGGCUCUUCCACUCCCUACUGCCCUACAGUUGCCCAGUCAUACAUGUCACAUGCCUGGCCCCAUAAACAUCUGGUUUGUGACUCUCGUGGACCAUUUAGGGUGUGUUCUCUCUGGGUGUCUACCGGCUGUCCUAUAAUUUAGUUGUAACAGUUAUUGCUUGAAGUCUGUAGACCACAUACUCAGGCUUUGAAGCCUUGAAAUGUUCUGACAGUUGGACACGGCCUGUGUUCUCUGUGAUUUGGGCCCACUCUGGAGAGGGGCCUAACUAGAGAGCUCGGUGACAUUCUCCUACCAUCUUGGACAAAUAGCCUUGUGGACAUCCUAGUUCUUCCAAACUGUUGUGUCCAGAAGAAAUCUGCCUGGUGUCCCUCAACAUAAAUCAUCAAAGUCACUGAUAUCAGUCCCUUCCCAAGCUGUGUAUCACCCUGAGGCCACAUGACUGUCAUGCCUGCGCCGGGGCCCACACUCAGCAGAGCCACCCCGGGAUGGCAGGCGGGGAAAGGCUGGAAGGGUCAAAUACAUUCCCUAGAGGAUCCGUGUUCAUUUUUCCUUACAAAAGCUUCUGGGCAAAGCCCUGGCAUGGUCUCACUUGCAGGGAAGGCCCAGGUCCACAGGGACACAGAAGCCAGGAUGUGAGGGCCAUGCUAGCCCCUGUCUUGCUGACCUCUGGAAUCCCAUGCUCCCCAAAGACUGCACUGCCCAGCCCUGCUUCUCUGUAGGAAGCUGACUUUCUGGAAGGUGUUGAAUUCUCUUUCUUUAGGGGCUGUGCUUUCUUUGGACCCUGUGGAUCCCUGCUCUGGGUUAAGAUAAUAUUUUGAACAAUGUGUGAAAACCAUUUGGCUGACUGUGGUCCUCCAGAGCCACCACUGCCUUAUGUCCAACUCUGCUGCUGGCAGAGCCCUUCGCCCCAUCUCCAGGGAUUCCGGGGUUUUGGACGCUGGUGUGGAGAAAAUCUGGCCUUGGAAAAUCAGACAGUGACCUCCCUGGGUGUUGGCAGAUGUUUCCUGUGCUCAGUGACCUCAUCAACUGCGAAGACAGAUGUGUCUGUAUGUCUCCCUAUAAGAGGAGGCCAGCGCCCCCCAUGGCCUUGGAGUCCCGAGGGUCACCAUAGUCCUGGCCACCUCCAGCCGCCUUCCGUUGUGGGGGAUGGAAAGGAAGUGGCACAGGCCGCCCUGCAUGCCUGAGCUCCUGGGGCAACAAACCAGGCCAGCUCCAGCUGUGAUCGGAAUGAAGGACUUGAGUCCUAGGUUGGCAGGGGCCACUAUGUGGAUCCGGGAUCCGGGUGAAGCCUGGAAGGCAGGAGGCUGGGGCCGGGCCCCUGAGCCCUGCCCUCCGUUACUGAAGCGCCACGUGACAGGACUGGAAAGUCACAUUUCCAAAUGACGAAUCCUGCCUUCUCAGAAUUCUCACCUGUCCCCCCGAAGCCGGCCUAUCCAGCUGGGCCUACUACUUGGGUAAGGACACAGAGCUCUGAGAGAAAGUCCCUGUCAUGGACUGAACUCUGUUCCACCCAAAUUCAUAUGUUGGAAGUCCCGUCCCACAGUACCUCAGAAUGUCACUGUAUUUGGAGAUAAGAUCUUUAAAGAAGUAAUUGAAAUAAAAUGAAGUAAUGGGGGGGCCCUAAUCCAGUAUGGCCGGUAUCCUUACAAUAAAAAGAGAUGAGGACGCAGACACACACACAGGGAUGAUCACGUGAGGCCACAGGAAAAAGAUGCCCAUCUACAAGACAAGGACAGAGGCCUCCGGAGAAACCAGCCCUUCCGACACCUUGAUCUCAGAUUCAAGCCUCCAGAAAUGUGAGAAAACACAUUUCUGUUGUUUAAGCCCCUCAGCCUGUGGUAUUUUGUAAUGGCGGCGUGAGCAGACCAAUACAGUCCCCAUAAGGAUCUGAACAGCAUGAGGUGGAAAGCAUUGUCCAGAAAUAAGAACUUAGGGCCCUUGGGUAGGGCUGGAAGGAGCUGGACACAUCCUCUGGAGGAGAGCUGACAGCAGAUGACACCAUGUGAGGAGGGAAAACAGAACUGGAAAGAGUGGGGGGCUUGGCUUUCUCCGGCCUCCAUGGGGCAGGAAUUUGGAUAUGGACAACACUCCAACUGACCAACAGGGACCCUGGGCAGUGGGGGCAAUAGGGCCCCUCAGAGAGAGGUGACCAAUGCAUGCAAGGACAAGAUGACCACCUGGGCUGGGAGGUGAGGAGCAUCUUGUGUAGGGAGGGCUGGAUGGAGAACACCUUCAUGAAGCCUGGAGACCAACGAGGGGAGGAGGCUGAGGAGACACAGACCUCUGGACCUUUGCUCUGAUCGAUGCCUCCUCACAUCCCUGCCCUCACUGCGGAGGGCACCCAGCAACUUCCGACGGCCCCAUCUCCCUCCUGACGCCUUUCUCUGGCAGGGCCCACUCUGACAGAUGUGGGGGGGCAGGGGGUUAAUAGUCCCCGAGAGCGGCCUUCAGCCGACCACUGGCAGGAGCAGGAAUAUAAAUACCUCAGCUCACUCCCCUUGGCGCCAUGACUGAGGCCCAGUCAGACAAGCCCCUCUUAAGGCUCCUUCCCCUCCAUGCCUUACUUCUCUCUCCCCUAACCACGUUUCAGUCGCUGUCCAAAUAAAUUGCUGUACUUGAACUCUAGGCUCAGGGCCGGCUUCUGGAGUUGACCCCUCUGGCCCUAGUUGUAUGCGUGGGGAGACUGGAGCCUCAGGUACCUCACAACACAGAGGUUUCAGAACUGCCCAAGCUCCACACAAGACCCGGCUUCCAAAGACCAGGCUCUGCAUGUUGAAUACGUCCCCUUUCUUCAUCUGAGAGUUCCAGCUUUGGAGGGGAAAGUAAUGGUUUUCCUGAGAGGGACAUCCAAAGAUGGUUCCAGUCCUGGAGCCAAGGUGUGAGCUCUGGAAGACUAAUUCCCGCCCCUAUUUGUGGGUAAGAGCCUCGGCUGUUUCUCGAUGUCAAUGCUCCUUUGGCUUAUAUCUGGAAAACUGGCAGAGGGGAGUCUGGGGCCAACGUGGGGCUCAUGGCGGAUCCCAAGGCCACGCUCCGUCUCCCCACAGCCUGCUGGGCCGUGCUCUCUGCCUCCAGUCCCUGUGGUGUUUCUCCACUGUAAUGAAGGUCACCGCACAGUAGCAAUCAUUGCCAGUGUUGCUAUAUUUAAUUUUCUUUGAUUUACCAAUUCUAGCCCAUUUGGAGAAAAUAAAAAACCACCACGCUCCCUCUGGUUUCUAAAUGCUUCUGUCUUUUUCGUGUGUCUCCUGGAAGCCUGUGUAUGUCUUCCCUUUCAGGGCUCCCUUGGAUAAUCGAGAUGUCUAGAAAUACCAAAUCCCAAGUGAGGUACGGUGAAUUUAUCAUGCAGAUUGCAGAGGACCUCUCAAAUGAAGUCCCUUCAGAAGCUGGCUGCGCUUGGGAAGAUUGGGGCUCCUGAUGGAGCAAAGACAGGCUCCACGUCUAAGAGCCAUCUUGUGGUGGAAACCACUCAAAGCUUGAGAGCCAAACAGGCCUGGACUCUAGUCCUGUCUGACUCAGCUGCUGCCCUCCCACAGGCCUCCAGCCACGGGGCUCACCUGCUCAUCUGGGAAAUGGACACAAGGGCCGCCUGGCUCCCCUCACUGACGAGAGGCCAGAAUGGAUACAUGAAAAGCUUCCAGUCUGUAUGGUCACAAGAACCUCGCGCUGAUCAUCACUGUGGCCCUUAUUACAUUAUUACGUUUCCAGAUACAAAUACAAAUUGUAUUUAUUUCCCCUGUGGGGGGAAGUCCCUGCUCCCUGUGUCAGCCAGGCAGUGCAAGCAAUAAGAAAUGAGAUUUAAAAUGAAGACUUUUAUUUCCGUAAGUUUUCAUUCUCCGUGCUUAGCGGCCUCAUGUCCUCCAGCGCAGCCCCACAUUGAGGAGCAACUGUUCCUGCAGGUAAUUCGGGGGAUAUCAGGGCUUGCUGGAUAUCAGGGCUCCUGACAAGCUCCUGCCUCCAUGGAAGGGGGCUGGGGACCCGUGGGGCGGGGGCUUUCAGAGCGGCCACCUGCCUUCUCCACCGGCAGUGGUAGCGGCAGGGAACGUCCCUCCCGGGCCACCUCCCCCCCCCCCGGCGGUGCGGGGGUGUGGGCCCUCAUGCCUGUCCUCCCUUCUAGAUUGUUCUGUGGUGGUGACGCUGCUCCACACCCUCAAAGCAGAUGCCUCUUCAUCUCCCGACCGCUCUCGUGACUCCAGAGCACGCACUCUCCACUUACUCCCUGCCUGGCAAGUCUCCCCAAGAACUGAUUCUGUAACUGACACUUCCUACCCUGUUUUCCAGCUCCCGUAUGAGCGAGGCUGACCUACAGAUCCCAUCCAAACAGUGAGCAGUUGCUUCCUGACCAAGCUGCUUUCAAGAACGACAGGGAUGUUUGUAUCACGAUUCGGUUACUCGAAACGCAAGAGAUAUAAAGGCUGCUCACAACUCUGAGUCUGGCGGUGCACAGCGACCUUUCCUCGCUGUUGUGAAUCAAAAGCGAGCAGGAAGAAGCUGUCUGAGUCUGCCCAGCGACACCCUAGUAACUGCCAUGGCCGCCGGGUCCCAGUCGACACUGACUGGGCAGGUAGACCGUGCGGCCAGAGUGAGCAGUCCUUGGACCUGCCAUCCACCCUCAGCUCGACACCAGCCACUUGUCCUCUAAUGUCUCUCGUCAACAUGAAGCAAAGCAAGAUGGGGGCCAUGCUGUCUGGGCUGCAGUGCAAAAGAUCUGGCCCCUCCCCCCAUCUGCACCCCCUUAACAAGCACCCCCGAGCCGGCCAUUGGCAUGGAGGGCUGGGCUGUGAGAGGAUGAGGUGUCCCACUCCAUGCCAAUUCUUUGCUGCCUCAAGUUGGAUUCUAGAAGAAAAGUGUCACUUCUUUAAACAUUUCGGUGACUCGAGCCCCAGCCCCACCCCAUCCAGAUGUUCACCCAACUGUCUGCAUUGGCAAAUCGAAUCCUGAGUAUUCACUCUUUCCAUGCUGACUUCUCCCAUCCUGGGAACCUGGGGUCUCCCCUGAGCUUGCCAGCGGGUGGUGGGCAGGGGUCAGAGGCCGGCUGCUGCCUGCUUCAGCUCCAGGCUCUGCUGGCCUCUCACCGUGUGACCCCAGGCAAGUGGCUUAACCUCUCUGAACCUCGGCUCCUCCUCAGUAGUCAAAGUGGGAGAUGAACAUGAGACGCUCCCUCACUGGGUUGGCCACAUAUUUAAUCACUUAAAUCAGUGCCCGACGGUAGUAAGGGCUCUGUACAUGUUGGUUCUUUGCUGGUCGCCCUCACUUGCAACUGGUGUCCAGAUGUCAUAGAGAAACUGAGGUUCUAAAUCCACUAUCUCCAAUCCAGCAGCUUCAGCACCAUCCCACACCCGCCGGAGUGUCACCUGAAGGUCCUACCUACUUGAUGGAGAUACAAGACAGAAUCCCGACAUCGUGGGCCCUCAAAAACGGCUAACUUGUGUCCACAACACAUAUUCCCAGUUCCCACUUCAGUGAAAUGAUGAAGGGCGCCCAUCAUGGUCUCUGGCAUGAGAAACCAGCUGGGCCGCUCCAGUCCCGCACACUUCGCCUGGGCAGCAUGGGAAGCAAAACCCUCGCGUCCCAUCCAAGAGCUUCGUCUGGUUUUCACGCUGCUGUCUUCGUCUGGAGGAAAUACCUUGGAGCAGAAACACGCGUCUUUGAUCAAGCAGCGCGCUGAACCGUCUCCCACGUGGGGACGCGAGCUGAAAGCCACGACAGUCCCGAGCAGGAGGAGCUGGGACAGGAAGGAUGAAAAGGGAUUUGAUUUGCGUUUUAAUCCCAAAGCAGCUUCAUCUGUCUUCAAAGACCCAUUCUCACCACAUGCAUUUGGAGAAUAAGAGAGAAGGUCCAUGAAUUAAGAGGCUUGAUUUUCUGAAUCCUUGGUUCAAUUAUAAACUCCAAGGCUGUCCAGGAAGUAAAAUGGUCUUCAAAUAACGGAAAUGUUUUUAAAGAACAAAUUUUGGAAUGAUAAAACAGUGCUGACCUUGACUCAAAAUUAUGGUUGACAUGGUGUUUCCUGUAUUUACAUAUCUAUUCGUGCUUUUGAAUGGUUGAAAGAAAUGUGACUACCUCACAAAAAAAAAAAAAAAAUUAUGGUUGUCGCUAUAAAACUCUCCAGGUCUCAUACAUCAAUCGUAUUAAAACAGACCCUCAAUGUGAUAUUUUAGUAUUUGUAAAACCCUGCUAACUACAAAAUGAAUUGCUUUCCUACUAAGAGCGUUUUUAUGUUUUGCUGAAUAGCUUUCCUUCCUGCCAAGAAAACUACAUCUGAUAAAUACAGCACUAAAUGGAUAUAUUCUGGGUCAGAAGGGGAAAGUCACCCAGUACUCUGGAAAUACACAUUACUCUGCUUUGGGUGUUUUGCUGACUAUGGUAAAUUAAGCAUUAAAAAAAAAAAAGAUGGUUUGGAUUUCAGAGUUCGAGUUAUGUCAACAAACAUAAAACGCUGUCCUUUCUCUUUAUUUCAAAAGUGCAAGGAUUAGGUCUUAUGGCCCCAAACAAUGCCAUGGCUAUUUUUACGGCUGUGGUUCCGGCCACAAUCUCAAAUAUUACAUUUUCCUUUAUAUGUCUCAUAAAAGGCUAUUUCACACAUAUCUAUAGUUAUUUGAAAACUUAUAUUAGUUACCUAGAUGCUAUAUAACGUAUGCGGCUUUGGUGAAGAAAUUUAAACCACGGGGAUGCUUGAAAGAUUCUGCGGAAAUACAGAGCAGGUAUACAGGGCUUUUUUUUCCUUCUUCCAAUAUAAGUACGUUAAUCACAUUAACCAAAGAACCGUGGAACUAACCACCUAAUAAACCUGCGUGGAAAAAGAGUGCUUCCCCAGCUCUACCUUUUGACCACAUGAAUCAUUACCUAUUAUUUGUGUGUGCACACACCAAGUAGGAUUUUCAAGCCUGUAGCCUGACUCUGUUUCCCCACACUGGGACCGUGAGCUGAGGAGACAACUUGCAAUUCGUGGUCAUCUCUGUCACUCUUUGGUCCGAAAGUCUGACAGAGGGGAUCACCCUGUUUACUAAUUCAAAAGCAAAAGUAAUAAACUCUACCAGAUUUCUUACUCCCACACUUGUUUUUAAAAAGUUCAAUGAAAGAGUUUGGAUUAGGACAGGCUUAUAACACAUAAAGAAUGAUUUUUAUACUCGCAAAUACAUCACUCAGAUAGUUAUUUGGAUAGUGUAGAUUUAAAAAAAAAAACACCACCACCACUUUGCUGUGAAUUAUCAAACAAUUAUGACAAACCUAGGAGCUUAGGUUCCCCAGGAGCUGCUAACAUAGAGUUUAACCCUGAAUUAAUGUGAAAGAUGUUACUUAAUGAGAUAACGUCACUGAGAAUAAUUGAAAGUUCUUGGACCACAGAAGGAUAAUAUGUAAAUAAAAGCUAUCAGUACUAUCGUUAUUCAUCAGAAAAUCUGUUUAAAGGGCUACUCGGCCUACUGGAUAGAAUUUUCUUAACACUUUCAUCUCUGAGGAUUUAAAAAAAAUCCUUAAGCCUAUUUUAAUAAAAUUUUCAUGUUUGACAUAUUUGCCUGACUUCUUACUACUAAUAAAAAUAAUCUAAAAGGUACAAAAAAAAUUUUUUAAAGGAGAAGCUGGGUAUUUGACAUCCUUUUCAAUACUUCAUUUUACUAUUUAAGUAAAGAAGA